rnacentral:rRNA from 1 species
AACGAACGCUGGCGGCAUGCCUAACACAUGCAAGUCGAACGAGACCUUCGGGUCUAGUGGCGCACGGGUGCGUAACGCGUGGGAACCUGCCCUUAGGUUCGGAAUAACUCCCCGAAAGGGGUGCUAAUACCGGAUAAUGUCUUCGGACCAAAGAUUUAUCGCCUUUGGAUGGGCCCGCGUUCGAUUAGCUAGUUGGUAGGGUAAAAGCCUACCAAGGCGACGAUCCAUAGCUGGUCUGAGAGGAUGAUCAGCCACACUGGGACUGAGACACGGCCCAGACUCCUACGGGAGGCAGCAGUGGGGAAUAUUGGACAGUGGGCGAAAGCCUGAUCCAGCAAUGCCGCGUGAGUGAUGAAGGCCUUAGGGUUGUAAAGCUCUUUUACCCGGGAUGAUAAUGACAGUACCGGGAGAAUAAGCUCCGGCUAACUCCGUG